ACAGAAACAAACUUUUCAACAGAGAUCCCGACGACACACUGAGCGACUACACUACUCACAACCACAAGGGCCGGCAGAGAGACAGAGAAACACAGGUCAGUGAAGGCUGUUUGCGGGGGAAUGUCUGUUCCACUGCAGGCUCGCAUCCGUGACUUCCUCUGCAGCUCAGUCUUUAGACACACAGAGACAUGGGGCAGAGAGCUCAGCAGAGCCGCUCUGCCUGCCAGACCUCAAACUGCAGCCUGCAGCUGCACUGACCAGCACUGGGCUGGGGGAGGGAUGGAGGGACAGGAGAGCCGAAUGGGAGAGUGAAGAUGUGAGGAGAGAGAGGAGAGCAGAAUGGGAGAGUGAAGAUGUGAGGAGAG